UCUCCUCCCCAAAUUCAAUUUCCCUAACCCCCGUCUCCACAGUCCACACUACUCUCCCCUCCCCCGUCCGAAACCCAAUUCCUCUUUUCCCCCUCCCGUCUCUCACACGGUCACGACUCACACCAGACUUUCCCCUCCCUCCGUCGGCCAUUCGCCGCGAUUCGCCUCACUCCGGCCACCGCUCCUCCCUGUCUCUAACGCCCCUUUUCUCCUUCCCUGUCUCUCACACGGUGCCAGAGCCGCUGAUGCCGCCGCGCCUCCGCCGACCAUUCGCCUCACUCCGAUCGCCGCUCCUCCCUGUCUCUCAUGCCCCUUUUCUCCCUCUCUUCUGCCGCGAUUCGCGUCACCGCCGCUGCCGAAAUCGCCAGCCAUGGUUAUCUCUAUGAUAUAGCCCCUCCCUCAAUCCACUUUAUAAAUCAUGGAUGUCAAUGAAGAGGAGGUGUUGAUUUCUCUUAGAGGAAUGGGGGGAUACCGAUGAAGUGCUCCUCCACGAAAACGAAGUAGCUGAAAACAGCUUCUUCUUCUUCUUCUUUUGCUGUGUUUCUUUUGCAUUGAUUUUUUUUUUUUUUUGUGCUUUUGAGUUAUGAUUUUCUUCGAAUUGAUUCCAAUGUCUAAGGUUUUUACUUUGGCUGAGGUCUCCGAGCACAGCACCAACAAGGAUUGUUGGCUCUAGAUCGUGGGGAAGGCUGAAGCAGAGGUUGGUACAUAUGAAAAUCAAUGAUACAUUUUUGUUGCUAUGCCUGGUUGGAGUGCAAGGCUCAUACAAUUUUUACAGUUGCAGCAUAAUUAAAUUUGUCAUAUGUAUGUGUAUGAAAUAAAAAGAAAUGAAUAUUCGGUAUGAUGUUAGGAAACUUCUAUGUGAAAGACAAGCAACAAGAGCUAGGUUGAUUUUUCCAAAUUUUAUAGAAUUGACUCCAACUAAGAUGUCAUUGUUGCUGCAUGUGCAUUUUUUGCUCA